UCGAGAAUCUUUCACAAUGGGGGCAACCCUGAUGGAGUGACGCCGCGUGGAGGAUAAGGUCUUCGGAUUGUAAACUCCUGUCAUGCAAGAGCAAAGCACGAGGUUAAUAGCUAAAGUGUUUGAUCGUAUUGCAAGAGGAAGAGACGGCAAACUCUGUGCCAGCAGCCGCGGUAAUACAGAGGUCUCAAGCGUUGUUCGGAUUUACUGGGCGUAAAGGGUGUGUAGGCGGCAAUUUCAGUCAGGUGUAAAAGCCCCGGGCUCAACCCGGUGGUCGCGCCUGAUACUAAGUUGCUAGAGUUUUUGAGGGGGGGCUGGAAUUCACGGAGUAGCAGUGAAAUGCGUAGAGAUCGUGAGGAACACCAAAGGCGAAGGCAGGCCCCUGGAAAAAUACUGACGCUGAGGCACGAGGGCUAAGGUAGCGAACG
rnacentral:rRNA from 1 species